AAGAUAUGGAUAUAUUAACAAUGAUAAAAUAUUGCGAUGAAAGUAAUCUUUAUAUUAACUUUUCAAUUUUUCAAUUUUUUUGAAAUUUGAUAACUAAAAUGCUCAUAUACGCUUCUAAAACACCGGAAUUUUGUGUGAACAUUGCAUAACUACAUCCGAGUAUAUCAGAGAGAGAGAGAGAGAGAGAGAGAGAGAGAGAGAGAGAGAGAGAGAAAGAGAGAGAGAGAGAGAAGACAUAGACAAAGAGGAUGAGGAGAAGGAGGAAGAGUCAUCGUUGGUGAAGCGCCCUAUCUAAUCUCCUACACUUUCGGCUGCCAUCUUGAAAGCAAAGAGCCGUGCCCCACGGAUUAUCUAACGAAUUUCUAAAGCGUUCGCCUAUCCCAAGGUCUCAACCGUUUUCUCUCUCUCUCUCUUUCUCUCACGUGUCACUUUUCCCUUCCUUCUCGACCACUCUGAUCAGUCACUCUUCUUAACUGUCCGUCUCUCCAAACUGUGCCACGCCUCGAUCCUCUGUCUCUUUCUCCCUUCCUCAAUCUAUCCCCCACCUCCUCUUAUCCAUAUGAUUCUUUAAAAUGGUGCGGAAGAUAUCGAACGAGCGGCGAACGAUAAGAUACGACGAUAAGCAGGGGAUCGCGUUUGUUCGAAUUUUAUCUAGCUCGAAUCGAGCUAGAGCUUUCGAACGAGGAGGCGGGAAAGUGAAGAAACGUUGAAAAAUUCUAUGCUUUUCGUCUUUCAAUAGCUUACUCUUUCGUUGAUCGAACACUUCGAACCGUGAAAGAUAGUAUAUAUUCUGUUGUAAGCAAAAAGAGGUCACGAUAAGAAACGAAAAAAAGUAAGACGAUUCUUGCUACACUAAAUGAAAGAAAAAAAAAAAAAAGAAAAAAAGAAAAAAGGAAGAAAAAAGAAAAAUUAUAUUUUCUCAAUAUUAUCGAAUCAUACUUAAUCAUUUUGCAUGGAAGAUGUUUUCCUAUAUGUUAACUUUUCGAUUUUUAUCGAAAAUAAAUAAAUAUUAUUCUCUUUCAUAUAUUAUUAAAUUCAUAUAUCGUUUGUUAAUUAUUCGUAAAAACAAAAAAAAAAGAAAUCAAAAAAAUGAUUUAAAUAUUGCAUAUGAGAGGAUUAAAUCUCUUUAUUCCGUUUGAAAGUUUGCGAAUAGACAACGUUCUAGCUGGCGAUUAGACUUUAAAUUUCAAAUCGCAGCAGUGACUGCAUUAAAUUGUCUCCUAUUAAAAGUGUCAUGGCCAUGCUCAGAGAGAGAUAAAAAGAGAGAGAGAGAGAGAGAGAGAGAGAGAGAGAGAGAACAUCGAGUAUUGCGGCACAACGAGAACGUAGUGUUCUCGAGUCUUGAAAAAUUUUGGUGAAUGCAAAGGAAACGAUAAAGAGGGAAACCGCGAACGAUAAAACGAGGUCGGUAAGACGAUUAAUAUCCGCGAUAUUAUUACCUAACCUAACGGAGAUAGCAAACGGUUAGUCGGGCGUGAAGAUCCCGUGCUUUUUUUUCCUCUCUUUUUCGCCUCUUACAAUCGAUCGAUCGAUUGAAAUCGAUACGAUAUCUUGAAAUAUCAAAACGUGCUAAAGUCCAACAAAUCCACAUUCUCUUCUCUCAUUGGCGUCAAACGGAAAAACGUGUAAGAUUGUUGUAAAAAGUGCAUUAACGUAUUCGCUAUUGCAAUUACUCUAUAAUCAUCAUCGAUGAUCGAUGAUAUUAAAUUUAUUCAUUGCUCUAUAACAUGAAAAAGUUUGUUAAUGUAGAAUUAUUUUUCAUUUCAAUUAUAUGUUUCUUCUAUAUUUAUAAUGGACAAUGUGUCAAUUGUUAUUAUUAACGAUUAGAUUUUAAAGUAAACAAACAUAACGUGUCAAUUCGAUGAAUUAUUUUAAAAUCGUAAGAAAACCAAAGCGAGUCAAAACAUUACUAAUAUUCGCAAUAAUACGUUAUCUUUUUUUCUGCAAUUUCUUUUUUUUUUUUUCACUUUUCGUAUCAAAAAUUUAUCAUCGAGAGCGACCGAGUGCAUUGUGCGUAUUAUUGAUAAGAGUAGGUACAGUAUCAUCCUACGCAAUAAUUAAUCAUUAUAUUUUUGCAAUAAUAAAAGUGUGGUAUUGUUGUCUGAAAAAAUUAGCAUGACAGUGAACGUGUUAAAAGCGAUCUAUGACCGUAAGACAAAGCUAUGUUAUACGAUCGUCGAAACAGGUUCCGAGCGCACUCGAGUGUCGCGCGUCGUUAACGCAACGCAACAACGAAAGGAGCGUGCUCGGUUCUCUAAAAAUAGAAGUUGAUGUCUUCGACUAACUAACGCGCGUACUUCGAAUCGGCCGGUUAGAACGAAACAAAGACGCGAGAACGUUUGCUUCUAAUCGAGCUCGCGUGUUGCGCGUUGGAAAGAGAGAGAGAGAGAGAGAGAGAGAGAGAGAGAGAGAGAGAGAGAGAGAAAGAGAGAGAGAGAGAAAGAGAAAGAGAGAGAGAAGAUGCAAGGAUCGAUACCUUCGAAGCGUCGACCGAGAAAACUGCGUCGUUCUCCGUUAACGCCCGCGGUGUAUCCGGAAAGCAACUUCUUAACCUGUUGAUGCCCGGCUUAUUUAAACUUGCCGCCUUUCAAACUCUCCAUUUCCUAUCGAUUUAGAAAAGAAAUUCGUUCAAGAUCCUAACACUUCAAAUAUUUUAUACGUAAAUACAUGUUUUCUCUCUCUCUCUCUCUCUCUCUCUCUCUCUCUCUCUCUCCUUCUCGAUAUAUUAUAUGAACAUAGAUUCUGAUCAUGAAAUAUAGAUUCGCAUAAAUUAGCACGAAGUAAGAAGUAAGCUAUGAAUGAAUAUAAAAAGAAAAAAAAACAAACUAUCUUCAAAAUUGUCAUAGAUCAUGGAUCGAAGAUUAAUCGAUAGGAAAAUGAGUAAAUCUCUUAUAAAUUUACUAAAGAUUUCAUAAUACAUGUUAUUGAGAAGAAAUGCGAGAGAAAAUCGAGGAAUUUUCAAGUGCAUUCGGGACCUCGUACUUUCGGCGAAAGUUUGAAAAGGGCGAGGAGACUUCGUGUUUGCCGGUCGAAGAAGAAAGAGGAGUAGGAGGAGAAGGAGGAGGAGGAGAGGAGAGGAGAGGAGUGGAGAAGAGAGGAGACGAUAGGAGGAGGGGGAAGAGUAGUAGUUGCACGUUGAGGGGCGCGUGCAGUGCAUGCACGUGUAUCGGGAGAGAGAGAGAAAGAGAAUGAGAGUAGAGUAGAGUAGAGUAGAGUAGAGUGUUUCAUCGUCACCGUCAUCGUCACUGUCGUCGUCGUCGUCGCCGUCGUCGUCGUCGUCGUCGGAUGCGCGCGCGCGCUCGCGCGCACCUCUAGUCGGACUCCUACUAGUCGAGGUGGUGGUGGUGGUGGUGAUGGUAGCAAUGGUAGUGGUGGUGCUGGUGGUGGUUGAUGCUGCUGCUGGUGGUGGUGGUGGUGGUGCUGGUGGUGGUGCUGGUGGUGGUGGUGGUGGUGGUGGUGUACAAUAGUGGUGGGGAGUAGAGGUGGUGGAUGGCGGCGCUCUAAGCGCGGCGCGACGCGCCGUCGAGACGCGGAUGCAGUUACGGGAGCGCAGCGCGACCAAACGCAACUCGACAGACGUCGCAUAUCCGGAUCAAACGUCGAGGUCUGCCUGCCUGCCUGUCUGCCCGCCUGCCCGCCUGUUUCUCCUCUCUGUCCGUCGUUAAUCGUUGAAAAAAAGGGAGAGAGAGAGACAGAGAAGGAGAGAGAUAUAUAUAGAGAGAGAGAGAGAGAGAAAGAGAGAGAGAUCUUAUAUUCGAUUUCAAGGAAGAAGAAGAUAGGAGUGCGUAAGAGAGAGAGAGAGAGAGAGAGAGAGAAAGAAAGAGAGACUGUCGGUGAAGUAUUUGUGUAGUAUAUCUGUGCAAAAGAGAAAAAGAGAGAAAGAGAAAAUCUGUUCUUGUUCGUUAUUAUCGUUUUGCCGCUCGGUGUAUAAAACCGUUGCUGUUGUUGUUGCUGUUGCUCUUCUCGAGCAAAAGUGUGCGUUUUUGGGAAGAAGAAGAGGAGGAGGAGGAGGAGGAGAAGGAAAUAGAGAGAGAAGAAAAAGAGGAAGAGGAGGAGGAGGAGGAGAAGAAGGAAGAAGAGGAGGAGAAGGAGGAGGAGGAGGUGGUGAUGGUGGUGGUGGUGGUGGAUAAGGCGGACUUUUCAUGGCAAACGUUUACCGGUGGAUCGAGUCCUUGAAGAAAAGACAGCCAGCAAGUCGAUGCAUUCUUCCUCUAGAUCUUUACGUCUACGUCGAUUCGGAAAACGGUAAUAACGACGAUUAACGGAGGAGUAAAAAGAAGGAUCUUUUGGAUCGGUGAAACGCGCGCGCAUCUGAACUAGCGCUCGUGUCCGAAGAGGAGGCGGAGGAGGAGGAGGAGGAGGAGGAGGAGAGGGAAAGGGAGAGGGGGAGGACGAGGAGGAGGAGAGCAACAGGCUCUCCUUCGGUCGGUGACGCAAGGAGGAGGAGGAGGAGGAGGAGGAGGAGGUGGAGAAGGUGGUGGUUGAGAAGAGUUCCAGUCGAUUUCGUUGUCGUCGUCGUGUGCUCUCCCAUAUCUACUUAUAUAUUCGAGAAAUAUCAUUUUUAAAUAUCUUCGAGCAUUUAUCUUAAUUCAUCGUGUCUCGUGUAUCACCCGUCCGUAUAGAUAAAAAAAAAAAAAAAAAAGAAAAAAAAAGAAUAAGACAGAUAAAGGAGUUUCUUCUGUGUUUCUUCUUUUCCUGUGUACAUUUAAGAAGAUUAAAAAGUAUGACGAAAAGAAGGAGGACUCGACCGUUGUUGCAUCGAGAAGAUCGGCUCUCGCUGAUUGGAGGACACUGUUCGCUGAUCAUCCUCGGAUUUUGAAGGAAUCAUCUUUAAAAAAAGAAAGAGAGAGGGAGGGAGAGAAAGAGAAAGAGAGAGGAGGGGGGAAGAAAAAAGAAAAAGAGUUCGCGCAACACGCGAUCAGUUACAAUCGGUAAGAGAGAAAGAGAUAGUUGAAGAAGUCUGGUCGUUUCGGUGCAGGAAGAA